UGGUGAGUUGAAUAAAUUAAUUUUUAAAUUUUCUGUUUAUUAAUAUUCGAUUGUUUUAAAUAAAUUUGGCGGAAAAAGUAAAGUGGACAAAAGCGCUAAUUGAAAAAUUAAUAUAUUUGGUAGAAGCACAGGAGUAAUUAUAGCAUAAAGUCACCGUUAUAUUUGGACCGGAAUGUAAAAGCUGAAGCUUUUAACAAAAUCUGUGAGGAGCUAAACGUGCCAAACAUAAACGUGUGUGAAAUAAAAAAAAUGGAAAAAUAUAAGAACACAAUAUUUACGAGAAAUUCGUGAAGUGCGCAAUUCACGAAAAAGCGGAGCUGGUAUACACGAUUUGUAUUCUCUAAAGUUCUGGUGCUUCUCGCUGCUGCAAUUUUUGGAGCAGCAUACCCAAAUUAGGAGGGGGGAAUCUAACUACGAGGAAAUACUUUUUUUUAUUUUAUUAAAUUUUAUUACAUCAAUUCAAACAAAUAUUAUACGGGAGUCGGGAGUGAGAAAAUAAUAUAUCUCCAACAACAACCCAACCAAUUGUGGCUGAAGAGACUGUUAAUAUAGUAAAUCAUUCAUAUACAUAUACAUAUGUGUAUAAAACAAAUAGUUUUAACCUUUAUACUUAUCUACAUUUAUAGGCAACUGAAAUAAUGAAUGGCGAAAAAGAAAGGCAGAAGAAAAAGGGAAAGCACUGCAUUGACUAAAGUGAGGCAGGAUUUGGCGGCUGUGAGAGAACAAAUCGCUGAAAGACGCAAUAGACCGUAUAGUUGGUUGGGCAAUUUGGUCUCUGCGAAAAUGUAGAAGAUAGUUCCUCACAUGCGAGAACACGCUUAAUGGGAGGUCCAAUGCCUUAUGCGCCGUUUAGUACAAAAAUCAAAGAGAUAUGGUGAUUCGCAUAUACAAUCCCCUCAAAACGACUUACUUCAGAAUGCAAUGAAUGGGAUUUUUGAAGAUGAAGAUUUUGAUUUUUGGUCGAUUAAUAUAUAUAAUGGAAAAGUUUGAAUGAAAUGUGACUGAAAUAAAAUUUUAAGGCUGGCUUUUUUAAAGUACGAAUAAUGUAGAUAUUUAUAUAUUGUUCUAAGAAAUGUUUUUAAUUUAAAUCUAAAAUGUAAUACAUUUAAAGACUGAUUU